AUGGCUUCAAUUGGCUGGGUUAUUAUUGCGGUGCUUUCUGCACUAGCCACCUCCGGCGCCCACGGUGAUGGUAACCUCACUUUCGUCUGCCAGCCAGAUCAGGCUGCAAGCCUCCUCCAGCUAAAGAAAUCCUUCUCGUUCUUCCACUACCCCAGCGCCCUUGAGUCAUGGCAGGAUGGCAUUGACUGUUGUCUUUGGGAAGGUGUUGGCUGCAGCAACUCCUCAGGCCAUGUCACCGCUCUGGAACUCAGUGGGCGUGGCUUGUACAGUCAAGGCAUUGACCCUGCAAUCUUCAACCUCACCUCGCUCCAACUACUCGACCUUAGCAUGAAUUAUUUUGGCGAGUAUAGUCUCAUCCAAUUCAGGUUUCAGAGGCUGCCCUUGCUCACCCACCUCAACCUCUCCCAUUUAGGUUUUCAAGGCCAGAUACCUAUUCGAAUUGGCGGACUUACCAAUCUUAUCUCCUUGGAUCUUUCUUCUAAUUAUGAUCUUGAGUAUGUUUACACUGAUCCCAACUUCCAGAUCCUUGUGGCCAACCUCAACAAUCUGAGAGAGCUCUACCUUGAUGGAGUGGAUAUGUCUAGCAGCGGAGAAUGGUGCCAUGCUCUUGCUAAAUCUCUUCCCCAUCUCCAAGUUCUUAGCUUGAGUUAUUAUAAGCUCGUCGGUCCUAUCUGUCCAUCCCUCUCAAACCUCCACUCCCUAACUGUGAUCAACCUCGAGGGAAACUUCGGUAUACCUACGGUUGUGGCUCCUUUUCCAGAGUUUUUCAUGGAUCUUCUCAAUUUAAGUGUGCUCCGACUUGCUGCGACAAAUCUCCAAGUUGGCAAACUCAAGAGCUUGAGAAGGCUAUCAAUCAAUGAGUGCAUCUUCACUAGGUCAGCGCUAUCAACAUUUGGUAAUCUAGUAGGCUUGACAAGCUUGGAGGUCUUCUCUUGCCACUUUAAUGGCCCAAUACCAUCCGCAAUUGGCAACCUGACAGAGUUGAAAAGCUUGAAUAUCAACAACUGUGAUUUCUUAGGGCCAGUACCAUCUUCAAUUGGCAAGCUCAUGAACCUGAGAAGCUUGGAAAUAUUUGGUGUUUACAACGAUAUUGGACCAAUGCCAUCUGCAGUAGGCAAUCUUAGUAACUUGGAGAGUUUGAAAAUACUUGCAACCAAGUUUUCUGGACCAAUACCCUAUGCGGUUGGGCUACUCAAGAAGUUAACAUCACUAGAUAUUCGAAUGUCUGGCUUUUCUGAAAGCAUACCAAAUUCAAUAUCUAAUUUGACUCGCCUAAUUGUGUUAGAUCUUUCAUUAAAUGAUCUCAGUGGGGAACUUCCAGUAUCAAUUUUCACUAUUCCGACAUUGCAACGCCUAGAUAUUUUCUCAAGCCAAAUAUUUGGCUCUAUACAAGAUAUCAACGUGACAUAUUCACAUUUGGUAUCAGUGGAUCUAAGCAGAAAUAACUUGAUGGGAAAUAUUCCUGAGACAUUCUUUCAGCUCACAAGUUUGGCUUAUCUUGAUAUUGGCUGGAAUAACUUGAUGGGAAAUAUUCCCGAGUCAUUCUUUCAGCUCACAAGUUUGGCUUAUCUUGAUAUUUGCUCGAAUAACUUAAUGGGUUCGGUGGAUCUUUCCUCGUUUUGGAGGUUACAAAAUCUCGUCCAUUUGGGUCUUUCCAACAACAAUCUAUCAGUUACAGACAUAUAUGGAGAAGGUAAAAACUCUCUUUGUACCUAUCUCCCUCGAGUAACCUGGUUGGAACUAGCAAGAUGCAAUUUAACAAGAUUCCCAUGUUCAUUGGCACCCCUUAAUCAAAUGUCCUACUUGGACUUGUCAUGCAAUAGAAUCAGUGGUGCUAUUCCAAAGUGGAUAUGGGAAACAUGGAACAGUAGCCUUAGAUAUUUGAAUCUUUCACAUAACAUGUUCAGCAUUACGCAACAUCCUUCUUCUGUUCUCCCUUUCUAUAAGUUGGGUGCUCUAGAUCUCAGUUCCAACCAACUUCAGGGGAAGAUUCCUAUGCCAAGCCCGCCAGCAUUUUUCUUGGAUUAUUCAAACAACAAUUUCUCUUCGGUACCUCCAAAGUUCACUCUAUAUCUUGGCUUUCAAUUCAAGAUUUCCAAAAACAAUAUUAGUGGACACAUACCAAACUCAAUUUGUAAUUCACGUACUAGUGUCCUUGACCUAUCAUUUAACAGCUUCAGUGGAUGGAUACCACACUGUCUAAUAGAAGAAGGUUCCAUGAGUGUGUUGAGUUUGAGGGAGAAUCAAUUUGAAGGUGUGUUGCCUAACAUUAUCAAAGACCAAUGUGUGCUUCAGAUAUUAGACUUGAACAACAAUAAAUUUGAAGGGCAGCUUCCAAAGACACUUACCAAGUGCUUGCAGCUAGAGUUCCUUGACAUAGGAAACAAUCACAUGGUAGGUACUUUUCCAUCAUGGCUGGGGGUACUCUCCGGACUUCGUGUGCUUGUCUUGAGAUCCAACCGAUUCUAUGGCUCAAUGGGUGGUGAUCUUCACAGCGAUGAAAAAUCUGGAGAAUACUUCUUUAACUUGCAGAUUCUUGAUGUUGCCUCAAACAAUUUCUUCGGCAAUUUGAGUCCAGAAUGGUUUGAUGGGUUGAAAUCAAUGAUGAAUGAGUUGAAUACUACAGGUGAUAUUCUCGGGGAUAAUAAUUCAUCUGAUUCUGGGAUGCAAGCAGGAGCUUCAUAUCAGGAUACUGUUACUAUAUAUUACAAAAGCGUCUACGGGACAUUUGAUAAGGUCUUGACUACAUUAACAGUAAUUGACCUGUCAAAUAAUUCAUUUGAUGGCACCAUUCCUGAAUCGCUUGGGAGACUUACUUCAUUACAUGUACUAAACAUGUCAGGCAAUGCCUUCACCGGUGAUAUUCCGCAGGAAUUUGGCAGGAUGACUCAACUAGAAUCAUUAGAUCUGUCUCAAAACCAGCUUUCUGGUGAUAUUCCGGAUGCGCUAACAAAUCUCACCUUUCUUGGUAUCUUGAACUUGUCCAACAAUCAGUUGGUGGGAAGGAUACCUCGGUCAGGUCAAUUUGCAACUUUCCAAAAUAAUUCAUUUGAAGGGAAUCUGGGGCUGUGUGGACUGCCAUUGUCCAACCCAUGCGGCAUUCGACCCGCUCCUCCAAGUGUGGCGCAUGGGGAGAAGUCCUCUCAUGUGGAUGUCAUCUUGUUUCUCUUCGUCGGGCUGGGGUUUGGUAUCGGAUUUGCAGCUGCCAUCCUCAUGAGAUGGGGUCAGAUUGGCAAAUGGUUUGUGAAAUCUGCAAGAGCUUUGAGGACUUGA
rnacentral:rRNA from 1 species